rnacentral:rRNA from 1 species
GAACCGUACCCCAAACCGACACAGGUGGUUGGGUAGAGAAUACCAAGGCGCUUGAGAGAACUCGGGUGAAGGAACUAGGCAAAAUGGCACCGUAACUUCGGGAGAAGGUGCGCCGGUGAGGGUGAAGCAUUUACUGCGUAAGCCCACGCCGGUCGAAGAUACCAGGCCGCUGCGACUGUUUAUUAAAAACACAGCACUCUGCAAACACGAAAGUGGACGUAUAGGGUGUGACGCCUCCCCGGUGCCGGAAGGUUAAUUGAUGGGGUUAGCUAACGCGAAGCUCUUGAUCGAAGCCCCGGUAAACGGCGGCCGUAACUAUAACGGUCCUAAGGUAGCGAAAUUCCUUGUCGGGUAAGUUCCGACCUGCACGAAUGGCGUAACGAUGGCGGCGCUGUCUCCACCCGAGACUCAGUGAAAUUGAAAUCGCUGUGAAGAUGCAGUGUAUCCGCGGCUAGACGGAAAGACCCCGUGAACCUUUACUAUAGCUUAGCACUGGACUUUGAAUUUGCUUGUGUAGGAUAGGUGGGAGGCUUUGAAGCGUGGACGCCAGUCUGCGUGGAGCCAACCUUGAAAUACCACCCUGGCAACUUUGAGGUUCUAACUCAGGUCCGUUAUCCGGAUCGAGGACAGUGUAUGGUGGGUAGUUUGACUGGGGCGGCCUCCUCCUAAAGAGUAACGGAGGAGUACGAAGGUGCGCUCAGACCGGUCGGAAAUCGGUCGUAGAGUAUAAAGGCAAAAGCGCGCUUGACUGCGAGACAGACACGUCGAGCAGGUACGAAAGUAGGUCUUAGUGAUCCGGUGGUUCUGUAUGGAAGGGCCACCGCUCAACGGAUAAAAGGUACUCCGGGGAUAACAGGCUGAUACCGCCCAAGAGUUCAUAUCGACGGCGGUGUUUGGCACCUCGAUGUCGGCUCAUCACAUCCUGGGGCUGAAGCCGGUCCCAAGGGUAUGGCUGUUCGCCAUUUAAAGUGGUACGCGAGCUGGGUUUAGAACGUCGUGAGACAGUUCGGUCCCUAUCUGCCGUGGACGUUUGAGAUUUGAGAGGGCUGCUCCUAGUACGAGAGGACCGGAGUGGACGAACCUCUGGUGUUCCGGUUGUCACGCCAGUGGCAUUGCCGGGUAGCUAUGUUCGGAAUAGAUAACCGCUGAAAGCAUCUAAGCGGGAAACUAGCCUCAAGAUGAGAUCUCACUGGAACCUUGAGUCCCCUGAAGGGCCGUCGAAGACUACGACGUUGAUAGGUGGGGUGUGUAAGCGCUGUGAGGCGUUGAGCUAACCCAUACUAAUUGCCCGUGAGGCUUGACCAU